GCGCUGCGCGGCGCGUCGCUUCGUGUCAAAAUAUUAUCUACAGACCGUUCACUAUAACUUGUCCCCUGACGUUAUGUUACGAUUGCAAAUCACACAAUAAUAAACCCUAAAUUCUAAGGAAUAAAGCAAACAAGGCAAUGAUGCCAACAUGACGGGAGGGGACUAGUUAUAA